rnacentral:rRNA from 1 species
GACGAACGCUGGCGGCGUGCUUAACACAUGCAAGUCGAGCGGUAAGGCCCUUUCGGGGGUACACGAGCGGCGAACGGGUGAGUAACACGUGGGUGACCUGCCCUCAGCUCUGGGAUAAGCCUGGGAAACCGGGUCUAAUACUGGAUAUGACUCCAUGACGCAUGUUGUGGGGUGGAAAGCCUUGUGCGGCUGAGGAUGGGCCCGCGGCCUAUCAGCUUGUUGGUGGGGUGAUGGCCUACCAAGGCGACGACGGGUAGCCGGCCUGAGAGGGCGACCGGCCACACUGGGACUGAGACACGGCCCAGACUCCUACGGGAGGCAGCAGUGGGGAAUCUUGCGCAAUGGGCGAAAGCCUGACGCAGCGACGCCGCGUGAGGGAUGACGGCCUCGGUGUAACUAC